rnacentral:tRNA from 1 species
GCGGAAGUAGCUCAGUGGUAGAGCGCCUCCUUGCCAAGGAGGAGGUCGCGAGUUCGACCCUCGUCUUCCGCU